rnacentral:rRNA from 1 species
ACUCCUACGGGAGGCAGCAGUGAGGAAUAUUGGUCAAUGGUCGCAAGACUGAACCAGCCAUGCCGCGUGUAGGAUGAAGCAUCUAUGGUGUGUAAACUACUUUUGUACGGGAAGAAACACUCCCUCGUGAGGGAGCUUGACGGUACCGUAAGAAUAAGGAUCGGCUAACUCCGUGCCAGCAGCCGCGGUAAUACGGAGGAUCCAAGCGUUAUCCGGAAUCAUUGGGUUUAAAGGGUCCGUAGGCGGUUUUAUAAGUCAGUGGUGAAAUCCGGCAGCUCAACUGUCGAACUGCCAUUGAUACUGUAGGACUUGAAUCAUUGUGAAGUAACUAGAAUAUGUAGUGUAGCGGUGAAAUGCUUAGAUAUUACAUGGAAUACUAAUUGCGAAGGCAGGUUACUAACAAUGUAUUGACGCUGAUGGACGAAAGCGUGGGUAGCGAACAGGAUUAGAUACCCUGGUAGAC